rnacentral:rRNA from 1 species
UGCGUAGGCGGGCUAAUAAGUCAGUGGUGAAAUCUUUCGGCUCAACCGAGAAGCUGCCAUUGAUACUGUUAGUCUUGAGUUCGGUUGAGGUAGGCGGAAUGUGUAAUGUAGCGGUGAAAUGCUUAGAUAUUACACAGAACACCAAUUGCGUAGGCAGCUUACUAGACCGACACUGACGCUGAGGCACGAAAGCGUGGGGAGCGAACAGGAUUAGAUACCCUGGUAGUC